UCUUAUCUAUUCUGAAGAAAGCAGAACUAACGGCGCGGUUGCUAAGGCCAAUGAGAUCAAUGUCAUCAGCAUACACCAUCAGCUGUACACUCUUAUAGAAGAUUGUAUCUUCUCGGUUUAGUUCUGCAGUUGAAAUUGUAACUUACUUAUAAAUAUAUGCAAAUCGGGAAUACAUAAGAAAUAUAUAUAAAACUAUACAUAUAGAAAUAUGAACUCUGGUGUAAAACUUAAAUCAGUCAAAUAUAGAAUGAAAAAACCACACGUUUACUAAUGGAACUAUUAUUCACUUUACCAGAAGGCGUAACUUCUUUUAAAUGGAUUUAGCUAAGAUAGGCAGAACUUGAAAUCGAUCUCACCUUCCUAUCAACAUUUUUAAGUCAAUGGUAAUGUCAAUUCUAAACAAUUGCAGCAGCUCUUCGGAGUCGGAUUUAAUGCGCUCAUUUUCUAUGGAAGCAUCAUUUUUGAUUACUUGGAAUUGGAUCACACCAAAUGUUUGUUAUUAUAAAUAUAGUGAUAAGGAGAUUGUAUACAAAUAUGCGUUGUAUGUAUGUUAUAUGCGGGUAAAGCAUUCAAAUUGCACAUAAAAGACUAAAAUGGCAAACGCUGCUUUUUUGCUAUAAAAUGUAGAUCGGCUAAAAACUUUAGUAAACAUUUGGAAAUCUAUUGGCAAAGUUGAGGCAUAAUUUUUCUCUUAAAAACUAGCAAAAUCAAAAAUUUCUAUAAACAAUGAAAUUCAUGUAUUUAUUGAUUAUCGUGUACAUUAGCAUAGCAGCUAUAAGUGCUCAAUGUGGACGAUGUCGUUACAAAUACAUAUACUACAAAAUAGUUAGGUGUGCUAUUUGCAAAACAAGACCAAACUGCAUUGUAAAUCAUCGCGGACAGUGCGUUGGAUAUUAUUACCGUGUGCGAGGAUAAUAGUCGAAGAAUCAAAGACAACGAAUAAUAAUACACAUAGGAUUAUGCCGCAAUAUUAAGUGUUAUAUCAUUUGUGUAACAAAAUUAUAAAAAAGAAAAAAUAAAAAUAGUUUGGUGUUUUUAAACUCAAGUGAAUUCACCUGUUAAAAUUUCUGAAAUUUUUUAGAAUAAACAUCACAGAUAUAUUUGUUGUUUUCAUAAAAUGAGUUUAUUAAAUUUAAUUGGGUGACAGCUUGCUUGUUUUUUCAACAAUAUACAAUGGUAAACGAAAUUAAGUAAGGAUUUGAAACUCUUCAGAUGAAGUUGAGUCAAAGUUUGUGAUUCUCUCUCAAAAAAACCAAAAGCAAAAAAUAUAAUAUAGUAAAAAAAAUCGUUAACUACGCUAGAACAGCCCCCACAAUUCAAAAUAUUUUCCAAACCAGAAUUCUAUAUUUAUCGUUCAGUUUGUAUGGAAGAAAUAUGCUAUAGUGAUCCGAUAUAAAACUUUUUUGGAUAGUGUAAUAAUGCUUUGAAUAAUAUAAUUCAUUCAAUAAAAAAAGUUUUCCAAACCAAAACUUAAUUUGUUUAAAGUUAAAUGACAGCUAUAAGCUAUAGUGGUCUGAUAUCAGCAGACCCAAGAAAUGAGCAGUUUUUUGGGAGAAGAAGGACGUGUGCAAAAAAUUGAGAGACUAGUUCGCAUAUAUAGAGACAGACGGAUAUGGUUAAAUCAACUCAGCUCGUCACGCUGAUCACUUAUUUAUCAUUUUUGUUUCAUUUGGAAUCCGAUGUUUCCUUCAGGAUGUUUCAAACUAUAGGGAAAACUUAGUACAACCUGUUCAUGAAAUAAAAAUAAAGAAAAUAAAAAUUAGAUUAGAUCUACCAAUUGGGUUGACGUUACUUUGACAGCUUGUGGCGGCCAUAUUUGCUUACGAAUUUGUGUCAAAUAUUGUCAGUUUGUUCAGUAAGAAAUCAUCUCCUCAGAUGACGCUCAUUUCUGGCUUAAUGGCUUCGUCAGCAAACAAAUUUUGUCUCUAUUGAGGAGAGUCAUAUCCACGUGUGGUCCUAAGCAUCUACCGUGUGUAGCGGAAUGUGGUAUGCCGGUAUUGUGGGGCCUUAUUUAUCUCGAAAUGAGGCGGAAAUAUUAUUAUCGUCAAUAGAUAACGUUAUAACACGAUGUUCACCGAUUUUUUCCCCAGAUUUGGCGGCAUGAAAAUAUCGAGAAAUGGUUCUGUCAAAAUAUUGGGAAUUUACGCCUCUGUGUUAAUUUCUCUGGGCGUAUGUUAAAUCUAAGGUUUACGCCAAACAACCAGCAAAGGUUGAGGAGCUCGCAAGCAACGCUGCACCGGUGUUUUAUUUCACUUUAACAUGAUGUCGUUCUUGUUGAUAGACCCUUUAUGAAAUUAUAUAUGAAUAUGUAGCUGCAACAAACAAACUAAAUGUGUUUGAAAAAUAAAAUACUAAUACAAUACUUGUAUAGUUAAUGAGAGUACACCAACGUAAACAAAAAUAAUCACAAAGUUCGUGUGUACCAGUGUUAUCACUGCAUUGUGGAACCUCAAGUGAAGUAAAUUUAGUUCAGAUUUGAAAGCCUCUGUGCACAGUCAAAAUUUGUUUUUCGCCGCUCAUUUGAAAAAAAAACGACAUGAAGCUUACAUACAUAUUAAUCUUAUGUAUUUGUCUCGUAACGUCAGCAGAAAGAAUGAUGCUAAAUAACAUUACCAAGACACAUAAGGCGGUUUUUAUAUCUAGACCAAGUAUCAGAUGUCAAAGAGUUAAUCAUCGUGGCCAAUGUAUUGGUGGAAGCCCUAAAUAAAACGAAUACAGAAAAUUUAUCGGAAAAUUAAGACUUGAUAUGAUGACAUCAUUAUAAUCGAUAAUCACUUCGUUGGAAUUUUGACUUCGAACAAACAAAAUAGACAAAAAUAUGAAAUCGUUAUCGUUAUUAGACGUUCAGAAAAGAAUAAAUUUAUAAUGGAAUUGAGUGAUUCUGCAGUUAUAUUAUUUAUGUUUAACUUAAGCUUUAACUUAUAAUGUAAUAUAAUGAUUUUGUGGGGCAAACACAGGAACUGAAUAUUGUACUGGACGAAGAAUUAUCGAUAAAAUUUUAAAUAUAAUUUGUGAUUAAAAUAACUUUUCAUUUAGAGAAAAGAAAUAUAUAAUAUAUACUCGAAAAAAAAUGUUUUGCUCCAAUAGCCUGCCGAAGCUUGUACAGUGUUAUUUUAAAUAUAGUGAUAACGAAUAUGUAAAUAAGUGAUAAGAUCAACGAGUGAACCGUUGGGACGCCAACAAACUAUAAUCACUUAGAAUAUGGUAGACUUCUUAGUUACACUUUACUUGCAAUGGGAAAAUAUGAGUGAAUGCAUGAUUAUCAAUUAUCAUGGAAAGUGCAUUGGAGCGCAAUGGAGUAACCAGAACACAAAUAAUUUUAAUUGAGUAAAACAUAAUAAGAAAAUAUUUUUAAAUAUUCUAUAUUAAACGAAGAUUAUUUUACGUUUUGUAAAUAUUUAAUCAGUUCUGUCAACAAUGAUUAUGCCACAAUAAAAUUUCUACAAAGUCUUAAAAGGGUCUCAUCUAUGCAUACUUGUUUAUUACAGCCAUAUAUAUUUCUUAAAAUAGCUCCAAUGAGCGAAAGUUGAGAAUUGUUUAAUUACCACUGCAAUAUGUAAUCUCAAUUGGAGUCAGUUCAGUGAAGACUUGAAGGCCUCUCUGCACAGUUAAAAUUUAUUUUUCUCCGUUCGUUUGGAAAAGAAUCAACAAACAUGAAACUCAUAUACUUAUUAAUCUUGUGUAUUGGUCUCGUAGCGGCAGAAGAAAGUAUGGUACUAAAUAACAAGACCAAGACAUUAAAGGCCGUUUUUGUAUCUAGACCAAGUGCCAGGUGUCAAAGGAUUAGUCAUAGUGGUCAAUGCAUUGGUGGAAACCCGAAAUAAAACGAACAUAAAUA